UACAGAGGUGGCGAGCGUUGUUCGGAUUUACUGGGCGUAAAGGGUGCGUAGGUGGUUUUGUGUGUCGGAUGUGAAAUCUCACUGCUCAACGGUGAAAUGGCAUUCGAAACUGCAGAACUUGAGUGCAGGAGAGGAGAGCGGAAUUCUUGGUGUAGCGGUGGAAUGCGUUGAGAUCAAGAAGAACACCGGUGGCGUAGGCGGCUCUCUGGUAUGCAACUGACACUGAGGCACGAAAGUUGGGGGAGCAAACAGGAUUAGAUACCCUGGUAGUCCCAACCUUAAACGGUGUACAUUUGGUGUGGGGAGAUUGACCCUCUCCGUGCCGGAGCUAACGCGUUAAAUGUACCGCCUGGGGAGUACGGUCGCAAGAUUA
rnacentral:rRNA from 1 species